rnacentral:lncRNA from 1 species
CCCUUUCUUCCCAAACCUCAAUAAACCCUUCAUGGAAGAUACUUUCAGGAACACAUGAUCCCUACUUCAAAGCUCAAAUCUCUCAUGCGAUUGUCUGCGUACCCCUUCUGUCUACUUUGGGUAACUUAUAAAUUAUGUCGUAUCACUAGCACCUUGGCCGUAGUUUCCUCUACUAUUUCUGGUCCCAAUAACUGUCUUUCUCCCACUUCGCUCCAACACACCGGUGGCCUAGAGGGCCUACCAUAUAGAGUUUCAUAAGGAGUCAUUCUGAUGCUGGUGUGAUAACUAUUACUGUAUGUAAAUUCUAUUAA